CAAUCUCACUAGGGACUGUGAACACACCCGUCCCGCCUGUCGGAUCGAACCCGUAACCUACUCCAAGAGUAGCUGGUGGAGAAAACUCUCUAGGGACUGUGAAUACACCCAUCCCGUCUAAUUAGGUGACACCGUAGCUCAAGAGUAACCGGCGGAGAAAACUCUCUAAAGACUGUGAAUACACCCGUCUCGUCUACUAGACUACACCGUAUCUCAAGAGUAACCGGCGGAGAAAACUCUCUAAAGACUGUGAAUACACCCGUCUCGCCUAAUUAGACUACACCGUAUCUCGAGGGUAGUCGGUUCCAGAAAGGGUCCAACCGAACGGCUAAGACUCCACUCACGCCACAACCUCACUAAAGGUAGGGAAAAGAGUCACUCACUACCUCACCAGGGCUGCCCAAAACGGACCCACCCUACCUGUAUCUAGCCGUGCCGUACACCACCCCGAGGGUAGCCGGCUCAAGAACUGUCCAACAGAAACUGCGACACUCAUCGCACUGAAACCUCAUUCCUGAAUGGCAUUCGUCGGCGCGACCCAACGAGUUUACAAGUAUCUCUGUCAAGUUCAUACUGCUCUCACAGGCUAAGGUCAAGUAACUGACUCUAACUGGUCUAACAACCAACAUGUUACGUGCCCUCGACACAAUCCGACGCCAAAACGGCGAUAUGGGUCCACCGUCAACCCCGACGGCACCCAACAGUCCGGAACAGCCUGAACGCUACUGAAAAAAAAAUCACUCGGUAUCCCAGCACGAGCGUAAAUGCAUUCUAAACUAUCUGGGGUAUCCGUCACCCCAAUCCUGUGACGAUAUAAAAAUACAACGGCUCCUAGAGCUAAAUCAGGUAGUUUAGGCAUAUGUCGAUCAUUAUCGCGUUUUCUCCUAAGUCAUUUCCAAGUCCCACAUGUAUAAACUAUUUAAUUUACUAUUUCAUGCUCCAAAUUCAGAUUUGCAGUUUACCUAAUAAUCCAUGAAUUCGAGCUAACAUAACUAUACAAAAAUCGGACAUUUACACAUGUUGACUACUACGCACUUAGGAGUAAAACCGAUGUAAACCCACCUCAAAGCUAAUCCCUGGCAACGAAGAAGUCACCUAAAUUCAGCCGAGCCCGCUCUCAACCAGCAAUCGUAACUCUCCAAUAAUCUGAACCACAAAAGCAUUAAACAUGUAUUAAUCUUUCAAAAUCAGCACUUAAGCUAAAUCCUUCUAGUACGAUGCAAACCUCACCUUCCGAAUCUCAAUCCUGGUGAUGCGAGGUUCCAAAUCCAGGGUGGGAUGGUGAUGUACAUAGCUCAGGUCCCAAUCCCAAUUCCCUUCAUGAUUUACACCAAAAGAAUCCAAGAAAACUCAAGUUCAGGUUCAGAUUCACAGCAGUGGAGUAAAACAGAGGUUCGACCCAGCUAACCUUCUUCAAAUCCAGCAAUCUUGGGCUCUGUAGUUUCCUCUUGAAGUCCCGAAUCCAGCGAACCAAGUUUCGCCGCGAUCCGAUGCUCCUACGUCGCGUACGAGCCGAAACACUGACGGUCGACGCUGAAAAUCAGUAAAAUCAGCACGCGAGCUCAAAACCGUGCGUUCAAGUUAUCCCAGGAGGAAAGUUAGAUACCCACCUCGACAGCGAAUCUAGCGCCGGUGCGACGUCGAGGACGGCGAAAACACCCACUCGCCCGGCCUCCUCGCGAUGUAAUGGCAGCAACCAUAUCCCCGGACGGCUCCGCGGCGCGACGUCCGCAACGAAAGCUCCAUCCGAGUUCCACCUAUUCGAUCAAUGCUAGAGAAAGAGAGAAGGAGAAGAGUAGCAAAGUAGCUCUCUCUCUCUCUGCUCCUAAACGUAUAAAGCAAGGGGUGGAAUAGGUGAUACAAACAAGGCAAGAUAAAAUUACUAAAAAACCCCUCACCUACUCAAGUGUACUGGUACACGGGCCUCUGUAUUGGUACACAUGCCAACCCGAGAGCAGUCUGCGCGCAACCUACUGAAGUGUACCGGUACACCUUGAUGGCUGUACCGGUACAGCAAGCAGAAAAACUGCUAUUUUGCAGAUUUCUUCGCGGAAAGCUGCCCUCGCGUGGCACGGAGUCCGUUUUGCCUCUAUUUGGCGCCAACGCGACUCAGACUUGUGCCAACACUCUACAGAGCCGUCGACAAGCCUCCACAGCAGAACACCAAGGAUCUCACAUCCUUACCCACUACAAAAAGUUUCGUCCGCGAAACUUAAGCAUACCUCAACUCAGGUCCACAAACAAAUAAGGAUAGGCCUCCCUCAUCAUCGUCUCAGGCUCCCAAGUCGCCUCCCGCUCUUUGUGAUUGCUCCACUGCACUUUCACAUGCGGGACGACCCUGUUGCGCAAUUCUUUCAUCUCUCGAGCAAGAAUCCGCAACGGUCGCUCCUCGUAUCUCAGAUCCCCGCUAAUCUCUAGUGGAGUGAAGUCGAUUACGUGAGUGGGAUCGAAAAUGUAUCUCCUCAAUGCUGAGACGUGGAAAAUAUCGUGGAUGCCAGCAAGUCACGGGGGUAGAGCUAUCCUGUAUGCAACCGGUACAACUCGCUCUAAUACCUCGAAAGGGCCAACAAACCGUGGACUGAACUUUCCACGUACCCCAAAUCAGCGAAUCCCUCUGGACGGCGAGACUUUGAGGAAAACAUGAACUCGGGUCCAAGUGUCCUCCUCUCACCCACAUCACUCCAAAAUAGAGGGGAUCGACAUCUGCAUUCAUACAACGCUUCAAACAGAGCCAUUAGAAUGCUCGUUUGAUAGUUGUUGUCGUACGCAAACUCAACUAGUCUCAUAUGUCGAUACCACACUCUUCCAAAAUCCAGGACGCAUGCCCUCAGCAUGUCCUCUAGAGUCUGUAUGGUCCCCUCUGACUAACCAUCUGUCUGUGGGUGGAACGCCGUGCUGAAAUGCAACUAAGUGCCCAAGGCUGUCUGUAGACUCCUUCAAAACUGAGAUACAAAUCUCGGGUCUCUGUCUGACACAACCGACACUGGCACACCGUGUAGCCUGACGAUCUCAUCCAGGUAUAGCUGUGCGAGUCUCUCUCUCUCGACCAGGUAGUCUGAACCGGUAGAAAGUGAGUAGAUUUGGUCAGUCUGUCCACUAUAACCCAGAUCGCGUCACAACCACUCUAUGCUCUAGGCAACCCCACGACGAAGUCCAUCGUAAUCUACUCCCACUUCCACUCGGGCACUGGCAGACUCUGAAGCUUGCCAGCAGGUACCUGAUGCUCAGCCUUCACCUGUUGGCAAGUCAGACACUGAGCCACAUAUCUGCCAAUGUCUCUCUUCAUUCCAUGCCACCAGAACCGUGCCUUAAGAUCCUUAUAUAUCUUGGUUCCCCCAGGGUGAACCGUAUAAGGAGAACAAUGAGCUUCUCUCAGAAUGUCCGCUCGGAUCUCAGAAUCCACGGGCACACACAGCCGGUCCCUGUACCGUAGUACUCCCGAACUGUCCAAAGCAAAACCCUCAGCCUGCCCCCUGUCUAGCUGCUCUCUAAUCCUCAACAAGUACGGAUCUCCACUCUGUUUCUCUCGGAUCCUAUCCAAUAGAGUGUGCUAUAAAACUAGAGACGUCAGCCUCGCCGUAGACCCAGGGGGUACUAUUUCGAGUCCCAGCCGCUGUAGCUCCUCGAGUAGGGGUCGCUGCUCAGUGAUUGUCAAACUCAGGCUCUGCACUGACUUCCUGCUCAACGCAUCUGNCGGUCCCUGUACCGUAGUACUCCCGAACUGUCCAAAGCAAAACCCUCAGCCUGCCCCCUGUCUAGCUGCUCUCUAAUCCUCAACAAGUACGGAUCUCCACUCUGUUUCUCUCGGAUCCUAUCCAAUAGAGUGUGCUAUAAAACUAGAGACGUCAGCCUCGCCGUAGACCCAGGGGGUACUAUUUCGAGUCCCAGCCGCUGCAGCUCCUCGAGUAGGGGUCGCUGCUCAGUGAUUGUCAAACUCAGGCUCUGCACUGACUUCCUGCUCAACGCAUCUGCAACAACAUUCGCCCUGCCGGGGUGAUACUGAAUACUAAUGUCAUAGUCCUUCAGUAACUCCAACCACCGGCGCUGCCUCAGGUUCAGCUCCCUUUGUGUGAACAGAUACUUGAGACUUUUAUGAUCGGUGAAAACCUCGCAGUGCUCGCCGUACAAGUAAUGCCGCCAGAGCUUCAAAGCAAAAACCACCGCGGCCGGCUCCAAGUCAUGCGUAGGGUAAUUCUUCUCAUAAUCCUUUAACUGCCGUGAAGCAUAAGCAAUUACCCUACCAUGCUGCAUUAGCACACAGCCAAGUCCACUGUGUGAUGCAUCACUAUAGAUCACGAAUCUAUACCCCAUCACCAGAAGGGCAAGGAUAGGAGCCGACGUCAACCUCAGUCUCAACUCGUCAAAGCUCCUCUGACAGUCGUCGCUCUAGACAACACGAAUCCCCUUCCGCGUCAAGCGAGUGAGGGGUGUGGAAUGCUUCGCAAAGCCUUCCACAAACCAACGGUAAUAUCCUGCCAGUCCCAGGAAACUCCGCACCUCCGUCACCGUCGUCGGUCUAGGCCAAUCUCGAAUCGCCUCAAUCUUCUUCGGGUCCACUGCUACUUCCUCAGCUGAAAUCACGUGGCCCAAGAAAGCAACCUUCCGUAACCAGAACUCGCACUUCUUUAAUUUGGCAUACAACUCCUUCUCUCGCAGAAGCUGUAGCACAAUCCUCAAGUGCUCCUCAUGCUCAGCAUCACUCCGGGAGUAAAUCAGAAUGUCGUCGAUGAAGACUACCACAAACCUAUCCAAGAACGGCUUGAACACUCUACUCAUCAAAUCCAUGAAUGCGACAGGGGCAUUCGUCAAUCCAAAAGGCAUCACUGUAAACCCAUAAUGCCUGUACCGAGUCCGAAAAGCCGUCUUAGGAACAUUCUCGGCCCUCACUGUCACGCCCCGGAUUACACUUUCUCCGGGCGCGCCGACAAAUCCGCCCUAUACAAAGGAAUUUCCCCUGUAUACGAAGCGAUAGCUGUACCUGUAAAACAAACACUACUACGAACAGUAGUAGAGAGCUGCUAGAGAAAACAGAAGCUAACAAACUGAGUUUCAUAUACAUAGUCCAGAUCCAAAAUACAAAGCUACUCGCACUGGCGAGUUAAGUCCACUAUGUACAUAAACUCGAAACAAAACAUCUACCUGCAGUAGGGGCACCUCUAGCUCAGCACGUCGGGUAGGGCUCUAACUUGCGACGCCCUUGCCUCGAUCCUGAUCCGCGGAAGGCGCAGCAGCCGAAACCUGUGGCUCUGCAAAACAGGGGGUAACAACUGGGCGUGAGAACUACUGUAAAAACAAGUAGUCCUCAGUGGGUACUGCCCAAAAUAAUAUCGGUCCACCCACUAAGCCUACAGAAGGGAACAGGAAUAGUAGUAAAAUGCAGGAAUAAAGUCUACCGCUAUCAAACACUACACUAUCAUGCUCUACACUAACCAACUGUAGAAAAUAUCCAACCUGACCCAAUCCAAUCGGGACUGUAAGCAUACCCGUCCCCGGGACUGUGAAUACACCCGUCCCUGCCCCGUUGCGACUAUCAAGCUCUAUCCACACUAACUGGUCCGUGGAGAGCAAGUCCAACUGGCAUGAGCGACACCAACGCGAAAGCACAAAGCCCAACUCCGGAGUGGCACUCGUGGGCGCUACCCAACCGAGUAUGCAGCGUAUCUCUGUCGAACUCAAUCAGGCUACAACUAGCCAAACUCAAGUGAACAGGGUCAAAACAGGUCUACAAACCAAACCCACGUGCCCUCGGCACAAUCUGUGACCAAAACAAGAAUCUGGGUCCACCGUUAUCCCGAACGGCACCCAACGACCCGAAACAGCCUAUACUCUGCUGAAAAAUAAGCUCGGCACCCCAGCACGAGCGUAAAUGCCUUCUAAACUACCCCAGAUAUCCAUCGCACUAAUACUGCAACGAUACAAUCGAAUCACGGCUACUAGAGCUAAAUCUGGUAGUUUAAGCAUAUGACGGGUCAAAAUGCAGGUUUUCUCCUAAGUCAAAUUUCAAGUCCAACAUGUAUAAUUUAAAUAUUCAUUUCAGCAUGCUUCUACAUUCAUAUUACAUUCAAGAUGCUAAUCGAUGAAUUAAAGCAUGAUAUACAAAAAUCGAACUAUACACGUCGACUAAACAUGCACUUAGGAGCGAAACCGAUGAUACACCCAUCUCGAGAGCAAAUUCCUGGCAGCACGGAACUCCCUCGGCUGCGGCACAACCUGCUGGAUCGACUGGAAAUGUCCGAGUCUCAAAAUUAAGCUAUCUCCAAGCUAUCAACAUCAAAAUCCACAAUUCAGUCCAAAUACACAGCAGCAGAGAAGAGAAGGGUUUCGACCAAGCUAACCUUCACCAAAAUCCACAAGUAAGGACUUCGUGGAUUUCUCUCGCAGUCCCGAAACCAACGAAUCAAGUCUUGUCGAAAUCCGAUGAUCCUACGUCGAGUACGAGCUGAAAUACUAACAGUCGACGAUGAAGUUCAGCAAAACAACACUUAAGCUUAAAUAUCCCAAUUCCAAUGUCAAAACUCACCUAAUGAACUCCAAAUCAGGUGAAGAGGGUCCCAAUUCCAGUACUGGGUGAUAGGGAAGGUGACUCAACUCCACAAAGCCCCUGCUUCCAAAGUUCACCCCAAAAAGAACACAAAAACUUACAAUUCUGUCCACAGCAACAACAGCAGAGGAAAACCUGAGUUCGACUAAGCUAACCUCAACUAAAAUCUGCAAUUUAGGGCUUCGUGGAUUCCUCUGGAAGUCAAGAAUCCAGAAAACCAAGUUUCGUCAAAAUCCGACCUUCCUACGUCGCGCACGAGCCAAAACACUGGAGGUCGUCGCUGAAGAACUGCAGAAUCAGCACUCCAUUAAGCUGGAUCAUGGAAGUUUGAUGCAAUUUGAGGCAAAUCCGAGGGUAGAGAUGCUAAAAGAGGCUUCUCUGUGAAGAAGGGAGGAAAAGAGCUCCCCAGGGACACUUCUCAGCUAUUUAUAGGGUGAAAAUAGGAUCAGAUGGACCUCAAGAACAAAGCUUGCAAUCUGCUGUCCCCGCAGAAACAGGCGUUUCUGGGCGCCCGGAACCAUGUUCUGGGCGACCAGAACAUCCCGACUGCACAAACCGGGCUCCUCGGACUCUCCGCUCGCGGUGUGCUGCGCCCGUAAAUGGCUCCGGCGGAACUCACCUACCGCCCUGCCACGCGUCGAAGCAAGCGAUAUUCACGAUGUCGAAUUUCCGGACCCACAUCUGGGCGCCCGGAACAUGGGAUCCGAAUUGGCUUCCAGUUUUAGUUAAAUUCAACACUCGUUUCUGGGCGACCCUAACAAUGUUCUGGGCGCCCGAAUCUGGCAAAACUCCAGUUUUGCUUAUUUGAGUGCGCCGAGUCCAAUUCUGCAUCCAAUUCGUGCAGAAUUGCCUCCGACUCAGUCCGACACUCUCCAGAGAUGUCGACCAGUCUAUAAUACUGAAGCCAAUCCUAUCCAAAGCUCAGGAACACUACACUCACCUUUAGCUGGUGGUAACCUGACUGGAGAUUAAUCUUUGAAAAGACACAAGAUCCUUGCAGCUGAUCAAACAGAUCAUCAAUGCGCGGCAAGGGAUACUUAUUCUUGAUGGUCACUUUAUUCAGCUCCCUAUAAUCCACACACAGUCUAAGUGACCCAUCCUUCUUCUUCACAAACAACACUGGCGCUCCCCAAGGCGACACACUGGAUCUCACAAACCCUCUACCCAUCAAAUCUUGAAGCUGUGCCUUUAGCUCUCUCAGCUCUGCCGGCGCCAUCCGAUAAGGUACCUUCGAGAUUGGUGCAGUUUCAGGAACUACAUCAAUCACAAACUCAAUCUCCCUCUCCGGCGGCAACGACAUCAACUCAGGGGGGAAAUACAUCCGGAAACUCGCAGACUACAGGGAUAUCCUCGAGUUCCGGCGCCGCCGUAGGUACCUCCACAACUGUCGUUAGGAAAGCGAUACACCCACUACUCAGCAUCUGUCGAGCCCUCGCUGAAGAUAUCCAUGUAGCAACCAACGUGCUCCUGCAGCCUCUAAAGUGAACUCCUCCCGGCCUGGCUUGCGGAACGUCAUCGUCCUCACUUCACAGUCGAUAGUAGCCUAGUACCGCGUCCGUCAAUCCAUACCGAGUACGACGUCGAAGUCCUGCAGCUGCCCUAACACCAACAGGUCUACGGCAAAAUCCAAGAAUCUAGCUACACCGGACAAGACCAACCACACUCCGCAACCUAUAACACAUAGUCGGGGAUCUGCACCUCUCGUGCCAAAAAUAAUGACCCUAACUCUAGACCAUGCAACAAUGCAAAUGCUCGGCUCACAAAAGAAUGGGAGGCAUCAGUAUCAACUAAAGUAUAAGUACAUAUGCCGAAAAUUAAAAUAAUACCUGCCACCAUACGGUCGGCUGCUGAAGAGUCCUCCUGGCGGUAGCUCGGUGGUGCUCCAAAAGCCUGCUGGUCAGCUGGCUGCGCUGAUGCCAUGGAUAGUGCUGGUAAUGUCGCUCUAGGACACGCUGACCUCACAUGUCCUAGCUGUCCACAAGUGUAGCAGCGGCCCUCUUUCUGCUCACACUGUCUGGGCCAGUGUGGUCCCCCACAAAUCACGCACCACAGUGUCCUCGGUGACGGUCCUUGCUGAAGCGAUCUCCUGGAAUGCUGACGCCCUGAUGAACCACGACCCUGAGAGCCAGAUCGAGAAAACCUCAGCAGACGUCUGCUACUUGUCUGUCCUCCAUCAUUUGGAAAAGGGCGCUUCCUAUCCUGGCUUUGCCCUGGUGCCGUAAUCCGCUCCUGGACGGUGUAACUCCGUGUCCCACCCAGAGUGCCUGCUGCACAGAUGCUCCUGUCUCAACGCCCGACCGCUGAGUGAUAAUCUCAUAAAUCCUCUACAACAAUACACUCUGCUGCUUGAUCACCUCUGUCAGGGCAGCCAAUUGCUCUCUCAAAUCAGGGGGUGCACUCGCCUCCGGUCGUGCACUCGGCUCUGCUUGGUUAGGCAUCUCUAGUGUUGCGACUCGAUCCCUGGUCGACGGUCAACCUCGGCAGCGAUCUGAAAGAAAAAGAACGGGGUCAGAUACCACUCAAACACUCUCGACCCAAUCAACGAAAGUCUGGAAAGCAGCCCAUAUUUUCCUCUAAAAUUAUGUUGUCUGUAGCCAACAUAAUUUCUCAGGCCAAAACAGGUACUCUUUCAAUCACUCACUCCACUCUCGGAGGAGUUAAAACAACUAAUCAUUGACUUUCGCAAUUAAAUUACGCCUCUCGCGUCUUACUUUCCUAAGGUUUGCCAAACUUAGGUUUUCUAGGUCCCAACGACCUAAUGCUAAUCUCUAAUACCAACUUAAUCUGUCACGCCCCGGAUGUCUCGUUUUCCGGGAACGCCGACAAAUCCGCCGUAUACAAAAAUUUUUUUUCUGUAUACGAAGCGACAGCUGUACCUGUAAAUAUACAAUACUACAAACAGUAGUAUAGAGCUGCUCAAGGAAACAGAACCAAAACAAACUGAGUUUCAUAUACAUAGCUCAAAAACCAAAAUGCUGAGUUACUCGCACUAGCGAGUUAAGUAUACUAUGUACAUAAACUUAAAAUAAAACAACUACCUGCAGUAGGGUGCCUCUAGCUCUGUUCGUCGGGUAGGGCUCUAACUCGCGACGCCCUUGCCUCGAUCCUGAUCUGCGGAAGGCGCAGCAGCCGAAACCUGUGGCUCUGCAAAACAGGGGUAACAACUGGGCGUGAGAACUACUGUAAAAACAAGUAGUCCUCAGUGGGUGCCGCCCAAAACAAUAUCGGUCCACCCACUAAGUCUACAGUAGGGAGCAAAGGUAAUAGGAAAAGCUGGAAAGAAAUCUACAGCUACAUAUCGCUACACUAGCAUGAUCUACACUAACCAACUGUAGUAAAAGUCACAACUGCCCCAAUCUCACUAGGGACUGUGAACACACCCGUCCCGCCUGUCGGAUCGAAUCCGUAACCUACUCCAAGAGUAGCUGGUGGAGAAAACUCUCUAGGGACUGUGAAUACACCCAUCCCGUCUAAUUAGGCGACACCGUAGCUCAAGAGUAACCGGCGGAGAAAACUCUCUAAAGACUGUGAAUACACCCGUCUCGUCUACUAGACUACACUGUAUCUCAAGAGUAACCGGCGGAGAAAACUCUCUAAAGACUGUGAAUACACCCG
rnacentral:lncRNA from 1 species